GUUUAAAUAGUUUAAUUAAAAAUUUUGAUUUGUGGUGUCAAGGAUAUGAAACUUCAUUUUAGACU
rnacentral:tRNA from 1 species